AUGUAUCCUCCAUGCUGUGCAAAAGAAAGAAAACUCCUAGGAAAAUCUCUGGGGAUGCAGCUGCAAUUGCAUAACUGCAGUUUGUGGGAAGAGAGAGUUCAUAGCAUCACAGAGUGCACAGUCCCAGUGACAUCCUCAGCAAAACUCCUCCUGAUGUCAGUUGUGACAGGAAACUUUCCUUCCAAGACUCUAAACCACCCAGGAGCUGAAGCACAUGCGUGGCCUGAAGCAAACUGACCAGUGAGUGGUUUGGUCCAAACCCAGCUGAGAGAGUGAACAAUGCCAGGGAGGUGAUCCUUUCUCAUCCAGAUUAACUGCCUUUCACCCCACCUGCUGGGCAGACUCUCUUCAGGCUCCUGAGCUGCUCAUUACUGCUCCACCAUGUUCAUCCUGUCAUACUCCAUCAGGAUCCUGCAUGGAGGGUUUCUCCCCGCCUUCCAAAUUUUUCUCUCCUCUUCCCUGCUUUCCCAGCUUGGUGCAGUCUGAUCGCUGCUCUCUUUCAGCCAAUGUUAUUCACUUACUACAUGGAAAGCAAAACCAUAUGGAAGACAAGAUAAAGGCCAUUUAUCUUGAAGCCUACUGAGAUGUGAACAUCUCCCAUUAAGGCUGCAGUUCAGCCAGGCUGUCUCGCACAUGUUGCUGUCAUCUCUUUCCACCAGAACAGAGAUGGACUCCUGCGUCAGCCAAAACAAUCUUCUUAGUUGUCAUCUGCUUUGUACUUAACACAGCCUUGCAUGCAAAACAUUCAAAGGAAAAAAGAAAAAACUAUUACUGUUAUGUCUUUUCCUUUGUUCUGAGAAGCCACCUUGCCAGCUCUCCCUUUGAAAGCUGCUGUCUGGUGAAGGAAAUUGCUACCAUCCUGAGAUAGGGCUGAGUUUGGUAAAUGCUACUUGCAUCAAGUUUGGAAAAGGAAAGUUUGUUCUGUAUUCAUUAAUGAAUGCCUCUCCCUGAGUGGCUGAAAGAGGAUUAUAGAACAACUUAUGUUGGAAGGAACCUAAAGAUCACCUUGUUCCACCUCCCCCCUGCCUCAGGUAAGGACGCCUUUCACUCUGGUGCCACAUCCCUCACCUCAUAGCCCGGGUGACAGUUCGUUCUCUCUUCAUUCCAGCACAACUACAACCAACAAACCUGACUACUGAUUCUGGACUGAGCUCAGGGUAAAUAUUUUUCCUAUCCUGUCAGCCACAGCCAUCCUGAAGCAGUCAGGGUACUUGUGUAAGCAGCACUAUUGCCAUCUUUCAAUCACUGCUCUUGGGGAACUGCUCAAACUCUCACGCUUUGAAUGAUUCCAGCUGUUCUCCACUCCCUCAGAGACAGCAUGAGAAAGCAGUCCCUGACACUGAGAUUACUUCAGUGAUAUCAAAGGGUGUGGAAGAAGGCUGCUAAUUAGUAAACCCUCAAGGUAUGAAGAUAUAAAUAGCCCUGGAGCAGUGAGAACAGAUCCAAAUCUGCAGACUAACAUUAUCUUGGGAUGAAAGCAUUACAUUUAGGCUGAUUCCACUAGAGAAGAGUGACUGAACAUUCCUGUUGAGGGCUUGUUUUCAUUGAUAAAGCUCCUUGUUGGGUUGUGCAGCAUAUUAUAAAUUUAUUGAGCCACCUGCCAAGGCUGAACCAGGAGGAGUGGUAGCAAGAACUUAGUCUGGGUUGAGCAAUCAUGAGGGAAGUUUCUGGCUUGUACUUUAACUUAUAUAAAUAAAUAAAUACAUAUCUCAAGUCCCUUAGCCA
ensembl:lncRNA